CCUAGCGGCAGACGGGUGCGUAACAUGUGGGAAUCUGCCUUUUGGUUCGGAACAACACGGGGAAACCUGUGCUAAUACCGGAUAAGUCCUUACGGAGAAAGCUUUAUGCACCAUUGGAUGAGCCCGCACUUGAUUAGUUUGUUGGUAAGGUAAUGGCUUACCAAGGCAACGAUCAAUAGCUGUUCUUAGAGGAAGACCAGCCACAUUGGGACUGAGACACGGCCCAAACUCC
rnacentral:rRNA from 1 species